ensembl:lncRNA
CUCGGUGCCAGUCUGGGUCCAGAUAUUUGGGCUCUGAGACAGAUUGCCAAGAAUUGCCUAUUUCGAAAACGUGGUCAAAUACUCUUCUCUGAUAUCUCCAACUUAGCGGUUCCUUUGGGUAGACAGUCCCAUCUACCACAGAAAUGUCCAGAAUAGCCAAAGAAGAGGUUGCCGUGGAUGCUUAUGGCUGGCAGAGAUGACAGAAAGAAAGCGUGGGAGGAGAACCUUUGGAGACUCCGACAGCAGGAAAUGCUAAGGAGAGAGCGUUCUUUGCUUCCCAGUCUUCCCCCGAGGGCAUUCAUCCUGGAUGAAGACGUUCGAAUCAAAGAAUCACUGCGGUUAGAGUGGGUAGUAACCUACACUGCGCAGUAGCUGUCCCACUCGGCACAGGCUUUCUUCUGCUCCCGAAACGUGGUGGGAGUCGAUGCUCGGUAUUCCUACUCACAGGUUUCCACGUGUGCACGUUUUUCCAUGACAAGCUGCAGAAUAGUUACCUUAUCCUUUCCAAUCUUCCUAAUUUUUCUGGCCUCAAGCCUGAAGAAAAUUGUGUUAAGCCUUUCACGUUAAGCCCACACAUUGUACUAGCCCAAAUGAAUGUCGCAAACUGUGAGCGGACUGCAGGGGGGCUGCCUGUGCAAUUCAUUUGCAACUUAGAGACAAAACACAGAUGAAGGGGAAAAAUAACGAAUUGAUUUGCAUGACCAGCAGGUACUGCGUUAACAUUUUGGUACAUUUGUCCUAGUGAAAAAUGCUAACGGCCCUUAGAAGCUGUGUGACCACCGUCAAUCUAUCUGUUCCUCUAAGCCUUGGCUUGCUCCCAGGCCGCCCUCUUCCCUGUCCAGACGCCUCUCCCAUUCUCUGACCCACGUGCCGACUGUCUGCUGUGCAAAGUAGAGUUCACUAUUUCCUAACCUGCUCUUCCUCCUGUGUCCCCAGUGUCCACUCAGCUGCCCAAGUCAGAGGCUGGGGACACCCUUCCUGCCGUCCUCUCCCCUCCCACGUGGCUCAUCUCCGAGUCCUGUCAACCCCCCUCCUCCCCUUCCUGCCCAGAUUUACUGCGGCCACUUCAGCUCAGCCACUUUCAUGUCUCAUCUGCUUUAUGGCAACAACCCCCCAGUUGGCCCCUGACCCCGACCCCUGCUGGGCCUUUCUAAUCUAUUUUCCUCAUGAUAGCCCAUGAUCUUUCCAAAAUCAAAAAGGGGCCUUGUCGCCCUCCAGUUUUUAAGCCCUCAGCGGCUCUCCAUUAGCUGCCAUCCGAGUCCUGCUUCUCUGUCUAGCCUCAUCUCCAACCCGUAAGUUCCUCCACGGCAUACUUUGAACCGUACAUACUACGCACAAGGCUCUCAAAGCAUGAGCUGAAGAGGGUGGGGUCCCCAGGGCCCUUUCACGGGGCCUGAGGUCAAGACUCUAUUC